UCCAUUAGGACCUUUAACAUGUUAAUCAUAGUCAUCUUAAGUUUCCUGUCUGAUAAUUCCAACAUCUGUGUUAUAUCAAGGUCUGAGUCUGAUUCUUACUUUCCCCCUUCAGAUUGUGUUUUUCUUGACUUCUGGCAUGCUUUAUAAUUUUUUAAACCCCAGACAUGUUGUAUGAAUGUUUGCUGUAACUGUAGGUGCCACAGGACUCAAAUUUCUCUAGUGUCCUUGUUUUUAUCUUCAUUGUUGACUUUGGGCUUCCUUAAGACUCUUCUUCAGAGACUCUGCAUUUUACAGUUCUUUCCAUUGUAAUACACUGUCGUUAUACUGAACCCCUGUUGGUGUGAUGCUAAGAUAUGGGGAAAGUCAGGCAUUCUAUAAUUUUACACAUAACUGUGUGCUUAGUGGUCCUGUGCCUCUGGGCUGUGACCUUCAUAAGUGCUUCUUCAGUGGUAUAAUAUUUCCCCCUUGGGUGAGACCUGAAGGCUAGAGGUAACUGGAUUGAGAAUGCCCUUCCCCCAGCUCGGAUAUACUCUAGUCAACUUUUUUCUCCUCCAGCAUAGGUCUUUGUUAUGGAGAACUGUCUUGGAGUAUCUAGCAAGAAUUACUCUUUUGCCCCCACGACAGAGCCACAAGAGAAUCUUGGAUCUCCACUGUGAGAAUCCAGUGAAGUUCCUGGAGUAAAAGCUCAUAAAAGCAAGAGGGCCCCAUAAAAUUGCAACCCCCACAAGUUUUUCACUCUCCUCUAGUUCACACUUAGCCUCCAGCAUUUCUUCAAAAUUACCAUUUAGGUGCUCUUACUGGAUUAUAAUGCCAGCAGCUUCUGCUCCAGAACAAAAGAUGACUGCAUGAAAAUGGUAUGAAAUGGCAUGAGGCCAGCUGCUGCUGACUUCAGAGAUGAUACUACUUUGUUAUAUGGGAAAGAUGUGAGCAGCAGAAGAGUUAGAGAAGAAAACUAUCAUAAUGGGAGAUCUAAUGAAGCUCAAAAGCAAAUAAGAGAAACAGGUGGAUGAAGAAGGGGAGCCCAGAAGAUAACAGACCAUCAAGAAGUUUUAGAGUUAAGAAAAAGAAAAAGUGAUGCUCAAUCUUUGCCAUAUUGUUUGAAUAUUUGUCAAGUUGUAUGAGUAAUAGAAUAUGGAGAGAAAUGAGUCAUGUCCAUAAUUUGGUAAGCCUGAGAUCAGGAGGGCAAAGAGAUGGAUACUAGAGAAUUAGGAGUUAUCUAGAUCUAGUUAGUAUCCUCAUAUCAUCUAGGAGUCCACAGAACUCAAUGUGGAAGAAUGAAUGUGCCCACUUGAAAUGAAUAAAAUAUU
rnacentral:lncRNA from 1 species